CAGGGUAGAUAUAUGAUGUGUGUAGAGGGGUGUGUUUUUCAUCAGGGUAGAUAUGUGAUGUGUGUGUGUUUUUCAUCAGGGUAGAUAUGUGAUGUGUGUGUGUUUUUCAUCAGGGUAUAUAUGUGAUGUGUGUGUGGAGGGGUGUGUUUUUCAUCAGGGUAGAUAUAUGAUGUGUGGGUGGAGGGGUGUGUUUUUCAUCAGGGUAGAUAUAUGAUGUGUGUGUGGAGGGGUGUGUUUUUCAUCAGGGUAGAUAUAUGAUGUGUGGGUGGAGGGGUGUGUUUUUCAUCAGGGUAGAUAUAUGAUGUGUGUAGAGGUGUGUGUUUUUCAUCAGGGUAGAUAUGUGAUGUGGGUGUGUUUUUCAUCAGGGUAGAUAUGUGAUGUGUGGGUGUUUUUCAUCAGGGUAGAUAUGUGAUGUGUGGGUGUUUUUCAUCAGGG